rnacentral:rRNA from 1 species
UACGUAGGGCGCAAGCGUUAUCCGGAAUUAUUGGGUCGUAAAGAGCUCGUAGGCGGUUUGUCGCGUCUUGCCGUGAAAGUCCGGGGCUCAACUCCGGAUCUGCGGUGGGUACGGGCAGACUAGAGUGAUGUAGGGGGAGACUGGAAUUCCUGGUGUAGCGGUGAAAAUGCGCAGAUAUCAGGAGGAACACCGAUGGCGAAGGCAGGUCUCUGGGCAAUUAACUGACGCUGAGGAGCGAAAGCGUGGGGAGCGAACAGG